rnacentral:tRNA from 1 species
GCCCCGUUCGUCCAGCGGUCAGGACACCCGGCUUUCACCCGGGAAAUCGCCGGUUCGAAUCCGGUACGGGGUA